rnacentral:rRNA from 1 species
CCUACGGGCGGCUGCAGUGGGGAAUAUUGGACAAUGGGCGAAAGCCUGAUCCAGCCAUGCCGCGUGUGUGAAGAAGGCCUUCGGGUUGUAAAGCACUUUCAGUGGGGAAGAAAGCCUUGGGGCUAAUACCCUCGAGGAAGGACAUCACCCACAGAAGAAGCACCGGCUAACUCCGUGCCAGCAGCCGCGGUAAUACGGAGGGUGCGAGCGUUAAUCGGAAUUACUGGGCGUAAAGCGCGCGUAGGCGGUCUGAUAAGCCGGUUGUGAAAGCCCCGGGCUCAACCUGGGAACGGCAUCCGGAACUGUCAGGCUAGAGUGCAGGAGAGGAAGGUAGAAUUCCCGGUGUAGCGGUGAAAUGCGUAGAGAUCGGGAGGAAUACCAGUGGCGAAGGCGGCCUUCUGGACUGACACUGACGCUGAGGUGUGAAAGCGUGGGUAGCAAACAGGAUUAGAUACCCUUGUAGUC